ensembl:lncRNA
CUGGAUGCGAAACUCCAGCUGCCCUUCCUGAUUAAUUAAGUAACCAUUUUGGGGAAGACAUGUGAGGGGAUUUCUACCGUUGCUGUUAUCAUGAGAAGUUGGCCACAGAGUUGAGAAGUUGGGUAGGCACUGCUGACUGCUUCUUUGGCUACAAUGGACUCAGUUGCAGGCAACACUGAGCCCUGGGUGCCUGAUUCUCCAGAAAAGAAUCAUGAACUUGAAGAGCUAGCGACUGAAGAAAUGAACUACAAAUCUGCAUACAUUAGAAGCUCAUUCAAAGAAGUUGCAUAUUGACAAGAAAUACUGUAAGAAUCUCAAUGAUCUCGGUGUUUCAGUGCUGCACUUAAGUUUAGU